rnacentral:rRNA from 1 species
AUACGUAGGGGGCAAGCGUUAUCCGGAUUUACUGGGCGUAAAGGGAGCGUAGACGGAAGGCCAAGUCUGAUGUGAAAGCCCGCGGCUCAACUGCGGGACUGCAUUGGAAACUGGUCAUCUGGAGUGCAGGAGGGGGAAGCGGAAUUCCUAGUGUAGCGGGGAAAUGCGUAUAUAUUAGGAGGAACACCGGGGGUGAAGGCGGCUUACUGGACUGUAACUGACGUUGAGGCUCGAAAGCGCGGGGAGCAAACAGGAUUAGAUACCCGGGUAGUCCACGCCGUAAACGAUGAAUACUAGGUGUCGGGUUUCUAUAGAGAUUCGGUGCCGCAGCAAACGCAAUAAGUAUUCCACCUGGGGAGUACGGUCGCAAGAAUGAAACUCAAAGGAAUUGACGGGU